GAGCAGAACCAACCGCACCGUUGUCUGGUUCCACACACAUUUGGUACCAAAAUGACAAGUUAGACACGGUCACGGUUCAAACUAAAACGACAAGCAAACCACGGUCACCGUCCGAACUAAAAUGACAAGCUGCGCACACCACAUACCCGCUGAGCGCAAACGUAAUCCACCUCGUUCCUAUCCUCUCCCUCUCCUCAUAUCGUCUCCCCCACUCUCUCGUUUUCAACUCAUCCCCCACAGCCCCACUUCUACACCGCGCGCCGCCCACCCAGCUCCAUCCACGGCGCAGCUGCUCAGCCCCGCUGCCUCCACGGCCUGGCGGCCCGACGCCCCUGCCACACUCCUUCCAUGGAGCGACGGCCCUGCUCCAUAUCCACCGCGCGCGACCCAUCAAAUCCACCGCCGGCGUCCCUAGUCCCACUGCUCAAGCACCGCAAGGCCAGGAGACCACCAAGCCCGCAGCCUCCGUGGUUUGGGAGACCACUGCGCAUGGACGGUGAUGAAGAGCUCCGUGGCCAUGGUCCACCACAACCCACCCGCUGCCAGAGAUCGCGUCCACUCACCGCUCACCAUGCCGCUGGCCACUCGGUGCAGCCCCUGUCCGCCUACCCCUCCACAGUUCAGCGGCCCUUCUUCCCGUUCGGCGCCACCUGAGCUACAUCGCUCGGCCCCGAUGGUGGAUUCUGUGGGAGAGGCUAACUGGAGCAGCUCAUAGGGCAGAAGAAGGCAGGGUCGAGGUCGCUUAUUUUGUUGUUUUCUUUUGAUCUGAAUUUUGGUAAACUCCUUUUUUCGAUCUGGAUACCGCUGUUCUCCCGAUUCAGAUCCUUGUUGUUGUUUUUCGAUCUGAAAUUUUGGAUACCGCUGAUAUCCCAUGGUCAUGCAGAGAAAGGGCAAUUUUUUUAACUAGAUUUGAUGUGUUGAUUUUUUUACAUGGUGCGUACCCGACAGAGAUCAAAUCAUCCUGCAGUAUUGAUUUUUCCGUGUUAAUUUUUUUUGUACAUGGUGUGUGCCGGAUUCAGAUCACAUGUGUUCAUGAUUUGUGUGGAGUUUUUCAUACUCCGGAUCCUUGGAAAUUUUGAUCAUCAAUUUUUUUACUGCAUUUUGUUCAUGCUUGGUGUCGGUGAUGGUUGUACUUGCUAUUCUGAAACUUGUGCAGCCGGUUGGAUCUUGCCCGCAACCAUGGCUGCUUCCCCUGGCAACGAGCCAGGCAUCCCCAGAUCUGGCGCCGCUCCAACACUAGCUCAGCUGGUCUAGUCGCCGCGAACGAGGUCAUACACCCGGGGAUUCACUGCCCAGCAUUCUCCCGGAGAUUGUACUUGUACAUGAAGCUCAAGAUCCAUGUCCUCCAACGUAUCAUGUUUCUGUGAAGGAACAACUUUGGAGAAUCAGAUUGGUUUUAUUGCUUCCGUGAAUGAUUCUUGAGCUCAACUGAUUUGAUAUAUUAGUUAGUUGUGUAUGAUGAAUUUUUCAGCUCGUUUAAUUUGAUGCCAUUCUAAUUGAUCUUUCUGGUCCCCCAUCGUCAUCCUAGCAAUCGCAGACGGAGACCCCUGCGGAGGUCUGCCACCUCCUUCCCGUGAUUCCCGUCGGCUCAAGCGCGACCCACCUCUCCACUUCUUCCCUGCACCCGGUGGGAUUUUGAGCUGUGUGGCGGUGGCACCCGGUGGGAGGAGCCGGGUUAGAGCUCUGCGCUUGGGAGGCCGAUAAGGGGCGGCUCGCGGACGCCCCGCGUGCAAGUGGACGCGCGGGAUGCCACCGCCUUCAGGGAUGCAGGUUGAAGGAACGCCGGAGGCCCGGAGAAGAAGGCUGCCGGGGAGGGAGGCGCUAGGAGUCACGGACGGGCGACUAGUGGGCGAGCAGGCUGUCGGGGCAUGGGGAUGCAGCCGGGCGCGCGACGGCUGGGCACGGCGGCGAGCGAGCUAGGCCGGCCUAGCCCGUGGGCAUUUCCUCACGAAAUAUGGCCCCGCGCUCUGCCUCACCGGUGGCGGUGGAUUCGUUGGGGCGGCGACUUGGAGAAGCUCGGGACGGACGGGCGCACGGUCGCUGGCGAUGCCCAAGCCAUCCCUGCGCUGGCCCAUGUUCCUCUACCUCCGUGAGGCUGCAAAUCUCUGUCGGCCGUGGUGGCCGGGGCCGUCGGCAAGGAAGAUGCGGGCGAGCGGUGGGGAUACGAGUCAGAGGAGGAUGGUCCGCCGUCAACCGCGCGUCGAGGACGAGCAGGAGUAACCGCCAGCGACUCAAACCGGGCACGGGUGCUCUUUUUUUUGAACUGGGGCAUGCUCUUAGUUGCACUUUUGUUUUGGCCAUAGGGACGGAACUUUUUUUGCUGAAAGAAUGCGGUCACGGUUUCUUUAUUACUUUUACCAUCUUCAUUUGCUGAAA